GGAGCCCGUGGGGAGGGCGGUGCGACCGCCGACCCCGCCCACGGCCGCCACGCCGCCCGGGGAACGGACCCGGCGGGCGGAAGCCCAGUUCGCCCUCGGGGCCGCGCGUCAGUUCGGUUCAGUGUUACUGGUCAAGCAACCGUCCUGAGACGCUGUCCUCCAAAUGGUUACCCAGGCUCUCUCCAUUGUGGUUCUCCACUCAGCCAGCAGAUGGGGAAAGAAAAAGCAAGAUCACUAGAGAAGAGGCAGGCUUGAAAGGGGAGACAUCGAUUUGGGCCACAUUCCCUUGGCUAGAACUCAGUCAUAUGGCCAAGGAGGCUGGAAAAUGUAGUGAGCUGUGUGCCCAGGAAAAAAAGGAAACACUGGCAAAUAUUUAACUAGUUUUUGCCAGCCGCGAUGGGAGCUAAAUGUUUUCUGGCUUAUUUCCAAUGAAAAUAGAGGGCCUCAGUCCCUGUAUUCUAAGAAAGACACUAAGAUUCACCUUGAGUCACAGGCACAUCCCUGAACAGAUGAACUGACCAGGCGGCUGCAAUGGGCUGAUGGCCUCAAGCCCACCGGAGUCCACCUCUUGAGCUAGAGGUGGGGUCGGCUUUCCCUGAAAUGUCUGGACUGCACGAGAAAGAGAUUCACAGCAGCUAAAUGUACUCAGGACUCUCCGAUUACCACUGUCUUUCCAAUUUGGGACUUGGCUGUCAUCAAUCCAGGGAAAGAUAUUCAGGACACUUUCCCUUUAAGCUUUAUUUACAAAUUCACUGGAUUCUUUGGGGGCAAAAGGGCACAUGGACUAUGUGGUAAUGAUACUUUUCAAAACCCAAAGAGAUGAGGAAUCUAAGAAUCAAAUGACAGAAUUUAAAGCCUUUGUAAGACCUUUUUAGGAGCUCCAACAAUCCAAAGUCAACUACUUCAAAAAUAAAAACAAACUGCUUGGGAAUUUGUUUUUCCUGCUUAGGACUCGGCACUUUCACUGCCAUGGGCUGGGGUUCAAUCCCCGGUAGGGGAACUAAGAUCCAGCACGGCCAAAAAAACAAAACAACAAACAAAAACAAAAAAACCCUGCUUUCCACAGGGCCAGGCUGUUCUUUUGUUGUUUAGUGAAUAUGGUAUCUGCCCCACAGUAAGACAUCAUUGCGGAGUGCUCUGAACCAGAGAGACUGGCUCUGUGUGCCCAGCCUGGCUGGUCGGGAAAGAGGACUGUGCUCUGGCAUGUUGAUUCAGUGCCCCUGGCAGAGAUGCUGCAGUGUUUGUUCCCAGACAGAAUUUCCCAACACAUCUGAAGUCAGCUUGUAGAGCAACAAGAUGCUAUGAGCCUGCACCGUCAUUAAGUCACUUCUAAUGCAGUCUCUUGAAAGACUAUGUAAAUGGCAGAGAGUCGAAUGGGAAUAGAUAUCUUGCAUUAUUGAUGUCAAGCAGGGAAUGAAGAUCUGAGGAUUCCGAACUCAUUGUAGUUAAUUAUAUGUUGAUGGGGUUGGGAUGUCGGAAUCACAGUUCUAGGGCUUCCCAACUUCUUUGCAACCUACUCUUUAAAAAUAUUACCCUAAGGUCAACAUCAGGAUCAUACAGAGGUAACACUGUGUAAAAGUUUUCUUAACAUGUAUGAAAUUUAAAAUAUUUUAAUUACAUCAACUAAACCAGCAAACUGUGUAAUUGCAAAAUUUCUGCCAUUGAUGUGAAAUACAAUUAAUUGAUGGUUAACUUUUUUAAAUUGAAGUAUAGCUGAUUUACAAUGCUGUAUUAGUUUCAGGUGUACAGCAAAGUGAUUCAGUCAUAUAUAUAUUUUUUUCUUUAUAUAUUCUUUUUCAGAUUCUUUUACCUUAUAGGUUAUUAUAAAAUAUUGGGUAGAGUUCCGUGUGCUAUACAAUAGGUCCCUGUUGGUUAUCUAUUUUAUAAACAGUAGUAUAUAUUUGUUAAUCCCAAAGCCCUAAUUUAUCUCUCCCCCCACUUUCCCCUUUGGUAACCAUAAGUUUGUUUUCUAUGUCUGUGGGUUUAUUUCUGUUUUGUAUAUAAGUUCAUUUGUAUCAUUUUUUUGUUGUUUUAAUAAGUUUUCUGCAUUUUGUUCUCUUGUGGCUACAUAUAUGUACAGACUCCUCCUGUCACAAAAUGCCUUAUACAUGAGAGGAAAUAAUAAUAUUUACUUCAUAUUCCACUAUUAUUAUUGGGGGAAAUAAUAAUAUUCACCAUUUUGAAAUCUAAGUAAACCAAGCAUGGUAUAAAAUAAAGUUCUCUAAUUAGGUAAAAGCACUAUCCAAAAUAUGCAUAAAUGGAGAAUCAUGGAAUAUUAACGUUGAAUGGAAUUUAGAGAUUGUAUAACUCAGGGGGCUAUAAUCUCUUUGGAUACAUGAAUUGAGAUUCCAAUGGAAGCUAUGGAUCUUCUCUCUCAUAA